GCACUCAAAUCUUUCCCAGGCCUGCUGCUUGGUGCCAGUCUGGGGACAGGCAGUGCAAUAGUAGAGCAGAGGAAAUCCAGACGGGUCGUUUCCAUCUGUCCUGGGGCCUGUCUCUACAACUCUGCCACACAU
ensembl:snoRNA LOC120102020 small nucleolar RNA SNORA55